rnacentral:rRNA from 1 species
GACGAACGCUGGCGGCGUGCUUAACACAUGCAAGUCGAACGGAAAGGCCCUGCUUUUGUGGGGUGCUCGAGUGGCGAACGGGUGAGUAACACGUGAGUAACCUGCCCUUGACUUUGGGAUAACUUCAGGAAACUGGGGCUAAUACCGGAUAGGAGCUCCUGCUGCAUGGUGGGGGUUGGAAAGUUUCGGCGGUUGGGGAUGGACUCGCGGCUUAUCAGCUUGUUGGUGGGGUAGUGGCUUACCAAGUCUUUGACGGGUAGCCGGCCUGAGAGGGUGACCGGCCACAUGGGGACUGAGAUACGGCCCAGACUCGUACGUGAGGCAGCAGUGGGGAAUAUUGCACAAUGGGCGGAAGCCUGAUGCAGCAACGCCGCGUGCGUGAUGACGUCCUUCGGGUUGUAAACCGCUUUCGCCUGUGACGAAGCGGGAGUGACGGUAAUGGGUAAAGAAGCACCGGCUAACUACGUG